rnacentral:lncRNA from 1 species
UACAGUACCGUACCCGAUGGUAGUGUCUUACUGUAAAACCGGAGGGCAUUUCAUCGCCACACAGUUUUCUGUUUGCUUGCUUGUUUGUUUGUUUGUUUUUGUAUAAAUUGUAAGGGGGCUAAUUCUUCAGGUAAAAAGUGCCAGUAGGUAAGCACAUUUUACUCAGGAGGAACCAUAUUAUAUUUUUUUAAAUAAAAUAAGUUGUCAGCGUUAAUCGUUUGCUUGUCUAUGCACUGAUGUAUAGGACAGCUCGCCUACAGGUUAUUCUUUUGCUUUAGAAGUCACUGGGGGUGAGGUGUUAAAGAUUUUGUCAUUUCUGCACUCCUGACACUAGAUGACUAUCGCGACCAGAGGGAGUAAGUCAGGGCGGUGACUUCGGCCCAAGGAGUCCUGCAAGUGGGGGAAAAGGUCCGGGCUUGAUAUCCGUGCAAAUAGAACUAAGCCUCGCCAUGCUUCUGCCGUCCCCUUCCCCAGAGUGCCCCUGGGACUUGGCGGCGCCCUCGUCAUCAGGGUUUUGCCCCAUGUCACCCUGGUGCCUCCAGCACUUCUGUUUACCUUCCAUGUUGGCGGCGUCGUUCUCAUUUUUUCCUCCGGGCUUUCUAUCUCGUCUGGCUCUUUUUCCCCAGUAGCCUUCAGGGCUUCAGGAAAUGAAGUUUAACUUUCCUUCGCAGGUGUUCUGCAUAGCGCGCUGUGGAUGGCUCAGUCACUCCCCUCCCUCACUUCUGAACUCUACCCUUUACUAUGAGUUUAUCAAUACCUAACAGAACUUUUAUGAAAGACGGUGAAAACUGGAAAAAUGUUUAGAUGGAACCGAGAUAAGGUUAUUAGAGGUCAGGAGAAAGCUCUCUUCUAGACAUUCGAAAGCUCAUAAAGAUGAUUGCUUUUAGGUUUCUCUAGAUGGCAUGGCAGAGGCCUGGACAUUUGUUGAUCACGUGGCCUUGCCCCUAGUGGGCUAAUUCAUAUUACUCUAGUGACUCACAAAAAUGCAUUCUUAAUCCUGUCUGCCCCCCCCCCCCCCCUUUCUUGCAAAUACAUGCAAGACUGACUGACUGACUGAACCGAAGUCUAAGAAUUUGAUUGGCUCGGCUCAGAUACAGCAGCAUUACUGGAAAAGUUCAUUCAGCAAGUAUUUAUUGGUGACCUAAUGCAUGCCGGGCACUGGGAUUCAGAGAGGGUGUGGAAAGGACUUCGGUUACUACUUAAUUAUGCUGUCAAAGCAAAAGCUACAGGGAUUUUUAGAUUUUCUGAAAUACAGGUUCUGUGAAACAUGAGGGAAGCCUCGUGUUGGUAUUUUGCUCACCGUUGGGGUUGACGUCUCUUUAGAUUUACUUAGCUUACUGAAAGGCAUUUUGGAAAAGUACAAAUGUAAGAAAUUUUAUUUCCCAGUAGCUGGAGAGUAGAUCUUAGAAUUUAAUAUAGCAGUGGGCUGGAAGCUGUACAGUAAAGACUUUAUUUAGUUCUGUUUCUUUUCUUUACAUGUACAGAAUUUUUAGACAAGGAUACUGUUUUAGUAGCUAUUUUAUACCCAAAUAAUUAAAUAUUAUUUGGUAGAGUCAAUCUGCACCGUAUUAAUUAGUUUUGAAAACAGAUUUUAAGUAACUUCCAAGUGGCUUAGAAUCUUCCUCAUGCGUUCCGUUUCCCACGGAAGCAGAUUUAUUUACCCUCCUGCAAACUUCCUUGAAUGUUACUGGUGACCUAGUGAUUGUGCAUGCUUCAGUAGAGACAGUUGAUAUGCUGUUGGGUACAAAAUCUUGGCAUGGUUUCGGCAUUUCAUCUAAACUAAUACAAUUUUGCGUGUGUGUUCUUAUGUGUGAGAGUGUACACGUGUGUGACAGGAGCUGUCCACCUUACUUUUUAAGAGGUUUCUUCCAGGGACUUGAGGACCUGUGCUUAAAGUGAACUAGCCAGUUUAAAAUUCUCAGGGAGCUACUUCUUUUGGCUUCCCCAGUGCUGCAAUUACACAUGGGCACUACUAUGCCCACUACUAUAUCCAGCUUGCUGGGGACUCAAAUCGGGUCCUUAUGUUUGUAUUUUACCAACUGAGCCAUCUCCCCAACACCUAAAAUUAAUAACUUUAAUUUAUUCCCUCAAAACCUACUGAAGAUUUAUUAGGUGCUAAUUAGCUCUUUUCUAGCCACCUCAUAUAAAAUAAGGAAUGAAAGAAGACAAGGGCUCGCUUUCUUUGAAGGGUCUUCCGACAACAGAAUUAAAUAAUUUCAGGGUUUAUGAGUAUUUCUUCACAGAAUCAAUUUGUAUUUUGCUCGCCUAAAUUUCAGAUCCCUGUUGUUUUGAGACAGCCCCUCACUAUAUAGUGCAGGCCGGUCUUACUAUUCCCAUCCUCCUGUCUCAGCCUGUCUAUUGCUGAAAUUUCUGGUAUGGACCACCACACAGUGGAUCCAAACUGAGACCUUCCAUAGACUCAGUUGCUCUGAGAGUGAUGUUUUCCUGAUUUUGUUGUCUGUUUGCCUAACACCUGUCUUCCUCAACACUACUACUUUGUUUUGCUUCCACAUUUUUACUCUCUAAAAUCAGUUUGCUUCUACACCUUGGGUUAAGGGAAUGAGUUUCUUGACUUGGUUAUUUGCUGAAAAUGUUCAUGUAUACCCAUUUGUGUUUUUAAUCAAUGAAUUACAGAAGGAAUACAACAUUUUAAAUGGAUUUUUAAAUUCAUAUCAUUGCCAAAAUAUUGGUAAAGCUGAUGAAUUUUAUAAAUAUAUAUUUUAAUGAAUAUAGUUGCAACUUAUCUUAAAGUGAUAAAAAUAAAGGGUUUUUUAAAUUAUCUUUUCACUAUACCUGGCAGUAAGUCUUAUUUAUUUAUUUAUCUUUAAUAGAAACACUUCUACUUUUCUUCUUUUUUUUUUUUUUUUUUUUUUUUUUUGGUUUUUUGAGACAGGGUUUCUCAGUGUAGCCUUGGUUGUCCUAGAACUCACUCUUUUAGACCAGGCCUUGAUCUCAGAAAUCCACCUGCCUCUGCUUCCCAAGUGCUGGGAUUAAAGGCGUGCCCCACCACUGCCCAGCAAAGAACACAUUUUUAAAAGGGAGAAAACAGCAAAUAAAAAGCAAAUAGUGUAUGUGUGUCUUGUAGAUUAUUUUACAAUAGAUUCAAAAUUAUCUUGUAUUUAGGACAACUAAUUUAGCUUUCGGAUGACUUAAACUUUGGUGAAGAGUCAAGGAUGGGGAUUUUGAGGGUAGAACUUAAAACUGUUAGAAGGCUUCACAUGUUUGCUGAAUGUUACUAUCACUAAAACGUGCUACUAUUUUAGCUUUUGUGGACUUGGGGAGAGGGGGCAGGUGCCCUCUGAAGCCAGAUGAGACUUGUGACCCUCAAGUUGGAGUACAGGUGGUUGUGUGCCCUGGGUGCUGGGAACCAAACCUCUGGAAGAGCAGGAAGCACCCUUAACUGCUAGCCCUUCUUUCUAGCCUCCUCUCAGUGUGGUUUUGUAUGGCUUUCUUUUUGUUGUUGUCUUUUUGAGGCAGGGUCUUAUUGUGUAGAUCUGGCCAGAAACUCUCUAAGUAGACUAGUGUAGCCUUAAACACCCAGAGAUCUACCUGCCUCUGCCUCUGCCUCUGGAGUGCUGGGAUUAAAAAAAGGCUUACGCCUCACCUCGCCUCGCCUCAUUUCAGGGUUUUGCAGUAACUGUCUUAGUUAAAUUUAUGGUAAUAUUUAUGGAACAAGUUUGGUGUGCUUUAUCCUUUUUUUUUUUUUUGCUAAAAUUAUAGAAGUGAAACUUUCUCCUGUGACUAUCUUUAUUUGUUUUUACUUAUCAUAGUAUAAGAAUAAACUUUGGCCUCUCAUUAAUCCUACUCACUUAUAAUUAAGAAUUUUCACUAACUCUAGAUCUUAGCUAUAUCAUCCAUUUAUAAUCAUGUGUCCUAAUCAGAUUACUUUUCUUUAUAUGUAUAGCUACCCUUUUUUUCUAAACUAGGUAGACAGCUAUAUCCUAUACUAAGUUUCAAUAUAAAGUUAUUUUAAGGUCAUAAAUCUUUAUGAAAGUUCAAUCUACAUGCUGGAUUUGAACCAGAGAGUUGAACUAUAGUUGUCCUUCUUAGUACUGAUCUAAUCUAGACUACCUCUGGUUUAGAGGGGAUUUUUAUCUUUGAAGGAAGAGUGCAAGAUGUGUUUAAAAUCUGUCCCAUCUACAGUAGAUAAGAGGGAGGCUUCUAAGAGUUGUUUUCAAUGUUCUUUGGGCUGGGUUAGCUUGUUAUCAGAGCGCUUGCAGGAUUAUCUUAAAUUUAAAUGCAUUAUCAUAAAGUCAUAAAAUUAUUAUGACAAAAAAUAUGACAGUAUAUUUAUUGAAAAUAGGAAUCUAAGUGCAUUGGACAUGGUAAAGGCGUAUUUUGUUGUUGUUUAGUUUUGGUUUUUCAAGACAGCAUUUCUCUUAAACUGACUGUCAUGGAACUUGUAGACCAGGCUGGCCUUGAAAUCCGAGACAGAUCCACCUACCUCUGCCUCCCAAGUACUGGGAUUAAAGACUUGCACUACCACCACACAGCUCAUAUGUUAAAAUAAAUAUGUAUCUUGUUUAUAUGUGUGUGCUUUACUGGGUUGUUUUUUAAACUGUAUUUCUUACUGUGAGUUAUAAGCAAAAGGGGGAUUUUUUUUCCAUUGUGUAGCUUUAAAACAAAACAAAGUUUAGUUACUAUUUGCCCU